UACGGGGGGGGUAAGCGUUGUUCGGAAUUACUGGGCGUAAAGAGCUCGUAGGCGGCUCGUCGCGUCGACCGUGAAAACCCGCAGCUUAACUGCGGGCUUGCGGUUGAUACGGGCGGGCUAGAGUUCGGUAGGGGAGACUGGAAUUCCUGGUGUAGCGGUGAAAUGCGCAGAUAUCAGGAGGAACACCGGUGGCGAAGGCGGGUCUCUGGGCCGAUACUGACGCUGAGGAGCGAAAGCGUGGGGAGCGAACAGG
rnacentral:rRNA from 1 species